ensembl:lncRNA
UACAGCUCUAGCUGAGGAUGUGAUCUCCUCGCCCUCCAACUCAGCCAUGAACCAUCCAUUCUUCUAAUUGUGUGCUGCGCUGCAUGGUGCCAACAUACCCCAACACCGUGAAAAUGCAACGAGAGAAGAAAAAGCGGCUUCCAAAAUUGCUUUUUCAGCAGGUGUUCUCUCCAUUAAUAAUGCUGUGUGAUGUGUCUGAAAUGCUGAAGGUUUGAGGCUUGAUGGAAAGCUCCCCCAGAUUGGGUUGGUCAGUGUAUGCAGGGGCUGUGAAGCUGAGGGCCACCAGUUGCAGAGCAGUGCCCAUGGCCUGAGAGUGGUCCAGAACAAGGACGAAAACCACAACCUCCGGAGCAGCCAGAGCAGGCACUGAACACCAGGAAACUGAUGUCACUUCUACACAGGACCAGACCCAGGCUGGCGUGAGACCUGGUGCUGUAUUACUCUUUGCUUUUGGAUCCCCUUCAGCUGCGUUGCUCAGAGAGGGCAGACGGGUGGAAGAUUAUUUACAGCAAUCAUUACAGAAAUUUGGUCCGGCAUGAGUUGGUUUUUCCUUCCAUUGUUUCUGAGCUGGCAUUAAACUUCUGAGCCAAAACCUUGUCGUUCCACCUUUGCCUCUACACAGAAGGAACACUGCAUUGUGUUGUCUCCAAGCAUAGAAAGAAAGGGCUAAGGGUGCCAAUGCAGUAAUUACACCUUUAGCAGACUUCUUAGAAGUUGCUCUAUUAAAAGACCCAUUUUUCAUUAGCAAAAAGUAAAGAAGGCUGGGCAAGUGCACCAACCUCAGACUUCUCACUGCUAAUUAAAUAGUAGUAAUAUUAAUUUAGCAGAAAGCCAAAGACCUCAUUUUUCAAGAUAGUUAUCCACCUUACUCUCCAUAACUUUCACCAGAAGCAGUAAAAUGCUUACCCUCCCCAACACAACGAAAAUGAUCAGAUGAAUGUACACAUGAAGGCAAUUCAUUGAGAAAACAACUAUCAUAUCACAAACAACAACUGUGUUAUCUGCAAAGUUUAUAGCCUCUACCUAAUUUGAUUUAAAUUAUCCCUGUUCUGUGGGUCAUCUGUGUGGUUUGCAACCAGGCUAUGUCGUGAGAAAUCAGAUUAAUCACCUCUGUGUGCUGCUGCUGCUGAAGAAAAGCCACAGAUAGGUGACUCACAAUGUCGUUCCUGUGUGAGUCAUCGGAAACAUCACAUUUGGUCUCCAGUUCUGCAGAUCCGUGUUAAUAUCCAUCAGGAGUUGUCAUGCUAAUUAAAUGAGCUUUUUGUUUUC